rnacentral:rRNA from 1 species
AGUGAACGCUGGCGGUAGGCCUAACACAUGCAAGUCGAACGGCAGCACAGUAAGAGCUUGCUCUUACGGGUGGCGAGUGGCGGACGGGUGAGGAAUACAUCGGAAUCUACUUUUUCGUGGGGGAUAACGUAGGGAAACUUACGCUAAUACCGCAUACGACCUACGGGUGAAAGCAGGGGAUCUUCGGACCUUGCGCGAUUGAAUGAGCCGAUGUCGGAUUAGCUAGUUGGCGGGGUAAAGGCCCACCAAGGCGAGGAUCCGUAGCUGGUCUGAGAGGAUGAUCAGCCACACUGGAACUGAGACACGGUCCAGACCCCUACGGGAGGCAGCAGUGGGGAAUAUUGGACAAUGGGCGCAAGCCUGAUCCAGCCAUACCGCGUGGGUGAAGAAGGCCUUCGGGUUGUAAAGCCCUUUUGUUGGGAAAGAAAAGCAGCAGGUUAAUACCCCGCUGUUCUGACGGUACCCAAAGAAUAAGCACCGGCUAACUUCGUG